UACGGGGGGGGGCAAGCGUUGUUCGGAAUUACUGGGCGUAAAGGGCGCGUAGGCGGUUCGCUAAGUUGAAUGUGAAAACUCUGGGCUUAACCCAGAGCCUGCAUCCAAAACUGGCGAACUGGAGUACUGGAGGGGAAAGCGGAAUUCCUGGUGUAGCGGUGAAAUGCGUAGAUAUCAGGAGGAACACCGGUGGCGAAGGCGGCUUCCUGGACCGACACUGACGCUGAGGCGCGAAAGCUAGGGGAGCAAACGGG
rnacentral:rRNA from 1 species